UACGAGGGGGGCAAGCGUUGUUCGGAAUUAUUGGGCGUAAAGGGCGCGUAGGCGGUGCGGUAAGUCUGAUGUGAAAUCUCCGGGCUCAACUCGGAGUCUGCAUCAGAAACUGCCGUGCUUGAGUGUGGGAGAGGUGAGUGGAAUUCCCGGUGUAGCGGUGAAAUGCGUAGAUAUCGAGAGGAACACCAGUGGCGAAGGCGAGUCCCUGGACAACACCUGACACUGAGGCACGAAAGCUAGGGGAGCAAACAGG
rnacentral:rRNA from 1 species